AAAACUUUCAACAACGGAUCUCUUGGUUCUGGCAUCGAUGAAGAACGCAGCGAAAUGCGAUAAGUAAUGUGAAUUGCAG
rnacentral:rRNA from 3 species